rnacentral:rRNA from 1 species
AGGCGCGAAAUCUCUGCAAUAGGCGAAAGCCUGACAGGGUUACUCUGAGUGAUGCCCGCUAAGGGUAUCUUUUGGCACCUCUAAAAAUGGUGCAGAAUAAGGGGUGGGCAAGUCUGGUGUCAGCCGCCGCGGUAAUACCAGCACCCCGAGUAGUCGGGACGAUUAUUGGGCCUAAAGCAUCCGUAGCCGGUUCUGCAAGUCCUCCGUUAAAUCCACCUGCUCAACGGAUGGGCUGCGGAGGAUACCGCAAAGCUAGGAGGCGGGAGAGGCAAACGGUACUCAGUGGGUAGGGGUAAAAUCCAUUGAUCUACUGAAGACCACCAGUGGCGAAGGCGGUUUGCCAGAACGCGCUCGACGGUGAGGGAUGAAAGCUGGGGGAGCAAACCGGAUUAGAUACCCGGGUAGUCCCAGCUGUAAACGAUGCAGACUCGGUGGGAUGGGUUGGCCUUUAGCCAACCCAGUGCCGCAGGGAAGCCGUUAAGUCUGCCGCCUGGGGAGUACGGUCGCAAGACUGAAACUUAAAGGAAUUGGCGCGGGG